CCAAUAGCGUAUAUUAAAGUUGUUGUGGUUAAAAAGCUCGUAGUUGAACCUUGGGCCUGGCUGGCCGGUCCGCCUCACCGCGUGCACUGGUCCGGCCGGGCCUUUCCCUCUGUGGAACCCCAUGCCCUUCACUGGGUGUGGCGGGGAAACAGGACUUUUACUUUGAAAAAAUUAGAGUGCUCCAGGCAGGCCUAUGCUCGAAUACAUUAGCAUGGAAUAAUAGAAUAGGACGUGGGGUUCUAUUUUGUUGGUUUCUAGGACCGCCGUAAUGAUUAAUAGGGACAGUCGGGGGCAUCAGUAUUAAAUUGUCAGAGGUGAAAUUCUUAGAUUUAUUGAAGACUAACUACUGCGAAAGCAUUUGCCAAGGAUGUUUUCAUUAAUCAGGAACGAAAGUUAGGGGAUCGAAGACGAUCAGAUACCGUCGUAGUCUUAACCAUAAACUAUGCCGACUAGGGAUCGGAUGAUGUUAUUUUUAAUGACUCAUUCGGCGCCUUACG
rnacentral:misc_RNA from 1 species